AUUGAACGCUGGCGGCAGGCUUAACACAUGCAAGUCGAGCGGAGCGGCGGACGGGUGCGUAAUGCCUAGGAAUCUGCCUGGUAGUGGGGGAUAACGUCCGGAAACGGGCGCUGAUACCGCAUACUAUUAGAUGAGGCUAGGUCGGAUUUGCUAGUGGGUGGGGUAAAGGCCUACCAAGGAGACGAUCCGUAACUGGUCGGAGAGGAUGAUCAGUCAAACUGGAACUGAGAAACGGUCCAGACUCCUAAGGGAGGCAGCAGUGGGGAAUAUUGGACAAUGGGCGAAAGCCUGAUGCAGCCAUGCCGCGUGUGUGAAGAAGGUCUUCGGAUUGUAAAGCACUUUAAGUUGGGAGGCGUUACCAACAGAAGAAGCACCGGCUAACUACGUGCCAGCAGCCGCGGUAAUAC
rnacentral:rRNA from 1 species